GCUAGUCUCAGUGGCAGACUUCAAACAAUCUGUCGUUCUGUUUCUGUCUGAGGCGUGCAUAUUCACAAACACACACAUCCACACAAAUGUAUGGCUGCAUUUCGGCAUAUACACACACACACACACACACACACACACACACACACACACACACACACACACACACACACACACACACACACACUGAUGUGAGAAUAGGAUGCUGUCUCGCUCUGCUUCUCUGGCUCACGCGGGGGACUUCUACCAGCAACCAACCGACCCCUAUGAACAUCCCUCAGCCUCCGGUGUUGUGCGCACACAACAAUACAAGAAUUCACAUGCUUGCAUAUGAAGCAGUGUCAACUAGCCUACAAACAAAAAGGACAAACCAGGUGCGGUAAACAAAUUAGUCUGCAUAAGUCUGGAUUUUUCGUGGACUCAAACCAGAAGAGCUGUGGAAAGUACCGUCGCACACACUUUCACACUUAUUUCAUGCAAAUACAAACAGUGCUCUCUUACAUACACUCCAUAGAGCUAUGCAAAUAGAUAAAGAAGCAAGUAUAUUCUUAGUCUCACGCGCACACAUUCAAACAGCACCCAAACCGGCUGGAAGAUUUGAUUCUUUCCUUUUUUAAAGGCGACCAACAGAUUUAUCACCAGGGUUGCACAAGCCGUUUGACUAAUGCUGUGUGUGUGUCUGUGUCUGUGUGCCACUUGCAAGGCGAGUGAGAGUGACCAACCGGGUCUCGUUUGUCUGUGUGUGUGCGUCAGAAGGCUGUAGACUCAAGCUAUUUUGAUCAGCAUGCUGCUUAGAUAUGUAAUCAGCAGGAUGAUACUUCAGGACAAAACAGAUGCUAUUCCUGAGGAGAAACAGCGCCGGGCCAACAUGCGUACCCUGAGGGAUCCCCUCAACAAUUCUAACUGUAAAGCGGCUAUUUUAGCUCGCCAAACAUAAACUACGGCCAAAACUUCAACCUAAUACACCGAAGAGCAUGCCAAGAAAAUGUACUCUGCAAUCAACCACAUAUCUAACCAUCUAUGUGAAGUGAGUCCCAGUGUUUUUUUUUUUUUGUAUUCAGGAGGUUGAAUGCUCUGCCGAGACCAAGAGUUGGUAUUUUCUGACUAUCGGCUUAUUUUGGUUGUGUUCUGUGCCACACUGAACUGAGGUGAGUGAUGAAUUAAGAAUGAAAGAGAUUAGUAAAGUCAAGAGGAAUCAAUAAUGAACAGACACUUCACAAUGUUCGAUUGAUCUCUAUCGUACAGAAAGGGAUCAAGUGUGUGCUGAAAUACCAGGGGAGCGACAGUUAAGAAGGAUGGAGGAGAAGGAGAGAAAAGAAACUGAAAGAAGAGGAGGAAGGAGGAGGUGGACUGACAGGAGAAGGCCUUGUAAGUGAAUGUGUUCCAUAGAUCUACAUACACAUACUAACACAAAUUGCAUGGGUUGUAGUUGAAAUGCCGUGGCGCCCUUCACGAGUAGUUGAGUGAGAAAAGUUAAGUUUGGGAGCUGUCGUGGACGUGAAUCUGCUGAGGUUACCAUGUGAAUGUUCUGGAACGACACUCGAUGACACAUACAACCUGAGAGAAGAGCCAAGUGGUCAGACAUGAAACAACACGAAUGAUAAGUCACACAGAAAACUUUUGGUGAGUCACGGCAACGAUCAGUUAGAGGCCAACGCGAGCCCGGAUAUUCAUCAAUAAAAGCUAAAAACAGAAUAGAUACAGAGUUAAAGUUUUAAGAACAUUUUAGGAGUGAACAUGAGAGAAAUUUGGCCUUUUUUUGAAC